CGGGGCUUAAUGUCUUGUAAUUGGAAUGAUGGGAAUCUAAACCUCUUCCAGAGUAUCAAUUGGAGGGCAAGUCUGGUGCCAGCAGCCGCGGUAAUUCCAGCUCCAAUAGCGUAUAUUAAAUUUGUUGCAGUUAAAAAGCUCGUAGUUGAAUUUCUGCUGCAUUACAUUUCUCUUGUUUGAGUUUGUUAUUGUGGCUUAUUUCGGAUUGAUUUUUAUCUUUCCGGAUGAUUACUUUGAGAAAAUUAGAGUGCUCAAAGCAGGCUUUUGCCUUGAAUAGUUUAGCAUGGAAUAAUAGAGUAGGGCUUUGGUUCUAUUUUGUUGGUUUUAGGUACCAAAGUAAUGGUUAAUAGGAACAGUUGGGGGCAUUCGUAUUUAACUGUCAGAGGUGAAAUUCUUAGAUUUGUUAAAGACGAACUACUGCGAAAGCAUUUGCCAAGGAUGUUUUCAUUAAUCAAGAGC
rnacentral:rRNA from 1 species